GAUGAACGCUGGCGGCGUGCCUAAUACAUGCAAGUCGAGCGAACGGACGAGAAGCUUGCUUCUCUGAUGUUAGCGGCGGACGGGUGAGUAACACGUGGAUAACCUACCUAUAAGACUGGGAUAACUUCGGAAAACCGGAGCUAAUACCGGAUAAUAUUUUGAACCGCAUGGUUCAAAAGUGAAAGACGGUCUUGCUGUCACUUAUAGAUGGAUCCGCGCUGCAUUAGCUAGUUGGUAAGGUAACGGCUUACCAAGGCAACGAUGCAUAGCCGACCUGAGAGGGCGAUCGGCCACACUGGAACUGAGACACGGUCCAGACUCCUACGGGAGGCAGCAGUAGGGAAUCUUCCGCAAUGGGCGAAAGCCUGACGGAGCAACGCCGCGUGAGUGAUGAAGGUCUUCGGAUCGUAAAACUCUGUUAUUAGGGAAGAACAUAUGUGUAAGUAACUGUGCACAUCUUGACGGUACCUAAUCAGAAAGCCACGGCUAACUACGUG
rnacentral:rRNA from 1 species